AUGAUGUUCUUUCACCUCACAGUUUUUUCACUUCUUAUAGAAAUUAUUUUUGGAAACACUAUAACACCCCUAUUUGCUGAAAAGCAUGCACUGAAUGGAGAAGUGGUUACUCUCAUCUGCAACUACACUGGAAGUAUACAGAGAUGGCAGUGGUACAGGCAGUAUCCCAACACUGCACCUGAAUUUCUCCUGCAAACUUUUGAGAAUGCGGCUCCAAUGCAGAAGGGACGUUAUCUUGCUAAAGCUCAUAAAGACAAAAAACAGCUGGACCUGGAGAUCUCCAAAACUGAAGUUACAGACUAUGGGAUUUACUACUGUGCACUGGUGCCCACAGUAACAGGAAACACCUCUUCACUCUACAAAAACACCCAGUUAGGAUAUGUCACAAUUACAUUAUCCCACUGA